GAAAUGUCGCUGCAGCUGCAAUCGUAAGUGAGCGGAGAUGACUGGUCGGAGUGUACUCUGCAUGUAUAUUUCAUAGAAAAUAAUGAAGCAGUAUAUACAGAUUUAACAUUCAUAUUCACUACAAUUUCUUAAUGACUGUAAGCGUUUUGUUGUCGGACAGGCAAAAUACAUAAAGGUGAUUACAUUGGAUUGCAUCUGAAAAUUGAACAAGUAUGUUGAAGGGAACCUUAGUGCUCGCUUUGGCAGUUCUUAAUUUGAUAUAUCAAGACACACAGGGCAAACUUUCUGGUUAUUUCAUCUAUGAUAAUAGACAGUGCAAGUGGAUGGAACUAACAAGGAACGGACCCGGACCCCGGUCAUUAGCAGUCAAUUGUCCAGCUUCUAAAGAUGGUAAAAUACCCGCAAUAGGUUGCCAAUACAGAGGUAAUCCGCACCCAUGCAAGGAAUACAAUAAAGACCCAGGGCAAUAUUACCAGUGCUUGGCAGACACACUAGGAAAAAUAGGCGACCUUUGCAAUAUCAACACCGUUAUCUGCAAGAGAAUGUGCAGUGAUAUUGAGUUUCAAUUGGAGAAGGACACUAAGAAAGAGGAUGGAAAUCAAAAAUUUGUCUUUGUACUUGUUGGUAUUGCUGCUGUCUCUUUCAUCUUUGUCCUUUUAUAUUUCCUUAAAUAAUUUUUACAAUGUAGUAAAUUUAAGAUCCUUACCUUUCGUGCUUUUAUGUUCAUCUCGUUUUAUUACAAAUAUUCCUACUGUGGGAACUCAUUCUCAAUGGAGCUGAAUGGAGCUGAACAUGAAAAUCAGUGAGCGUGUUAAAAUAUUUUGCUAGGUUGAGAAAUGGCAAAAUGUACAAUUUAGUAUUACAUUCCUGCAAAAUCCCAUGUUUAGAUUUCAUUUCAAUAAUUAUUCAAAGUAUCGUCCUUUAAAAUCAUUGCUUUUGUACUUUAUUCAAAUAAGCUAAUAUUAUAAAUACUACUUCACAGUGAACAAGACGUGAUCUGAAGCUCACUUAACGCAGUAAUAUAUUUAUAUUUAACGUUUCUCAUAACCUCAUCUUUUAGUAUUACAAAACAUUCUUUAUCUUUGCUCAAAGAAUACAUGUAGCAAAAAGCUUUGUUUUUUUCAAGUAAUAAAUCAAACAUCCUGAUUUCUGUGGAAAAGUUGAAAACAUGGACAACAUAUUCCAAGCAAGACAUAUUUUUGUAAAACU